AUCUCUAUAUCCAGCAAAAUCUGGUACAUUUUUAGAUAUGCGUUCUUGAUAUUUCAUGUUGCAACAUUUGACGAUGUCUCCAGUUAAACUUGGUGCCUUUACAGAUAGACGUUCUAGAUAUUUUAUGUGGCAUUUUGUGACAAUGUCUCCAGCCAAAUCUGGUACCUAUAUGGACUAUUGUUUUAGACAUCACUUGUGGCAAUCUAUGACAAUGUCUCCAUUCCGAUCUGGUACAUUUACAGAUAUGCCUUUCUGAUAUUUUAUGUCGCAAUCUUUGUCUCCAGUCAAAUACUAGUAUAUUGGCUUUCGAAAAAUGCAUUCUAGAUAUUUCAUGCAGCAAUCUGACAAUGUCUUCAGACAAAUCUGGUACCUGUAUGAACUAUUGUUUUAAACAUAACUUGUGGCAAUCUUUGACAACGUCUCGAGUCCGAUCUGGUACAUUUACAGACAAGCAUUUCUGAUAUUUUAUAUUGCAAUGUUUGACAAUGUCUCCGGUCAAAUAUGUUGCCUUUUGUAAAAUGCAUUCGAGAUAUUUCACGUAGCAAUCUUUGACAAUAUCUGUAGACAAAUCUUGUAUCUCUUAAGAAAGAAGUUGUAUAUAUUUAAUGUGGCAAUCUUUGACAAUGUCUCCAGCGAAAUCUGGUACAUAUAAAGAUAUGAGUUCAUGACAUUUUAUGUAGCAAUCUAUGACAAUGUCACUUGUCAAACCUGGUGCCUUUAAAGAUAUGCGUUCUAGAUAUUUCAUGUAGCAAUCUUUGACAAUAUCUCCAGUCAUAUCUGGUACAUGUCGACAUUGGACUUGUAGAUAGUUCAUUAAGCAGUCUUUGACAAGGUCUUCUGUUACAUUUGAUGCAUAUAGAAAUUGAUGUUCCAGAUAUUUCAUUUGGUAAUGUACGACAAUGUCUCCAUCCAAAUCUGGUACCUGUAAAUGUAUGCGUUAAAGAUAUUACAUGUGGCAAUCUUUGACAAUGUCUACAGCCUAAUCUGGGACUUGUAGAGAUUGGCGUUGUAGAUUUUUCAUAUGGCAAUCUUUGACAAUGUAUCUAGCAAAAUCUGGUACCUUUUGUUCAAAGUUAGCGUUUUAGAUAUCUCUAGAACGCCUGCCUAAAAAUGAACCAGAUUUGGGUGCAGACAUUUUCAGCAAUUGCGACAUGAAAUAUCUCCAACGGCACUAGAUUUGACUGGAGACAUUAUUUUAGAUUGCCACAUUUAAUAUCUAGAACGCCUGCCUCAAAAGAAACCAAAUUUGCCUGGAGAUAUUGUCAAAGAUUGCCACAUGAAGUAUCUGAAACGCCUAUAUCUAGAGGCACCAGGUUUGACUAAGUGGGUAAUUUGAUAUAGAUAUAGAUUGAUAUAGAUCAGUUUGAUAUGCAUACCACUUACUGUGGUAUUUGACACUGACACAGUAUCAAUUAACAAUAAUGAAAAUAACAUAAUAAUUAAGGUGCUAUUCAAUAAUGUUGUGAUUGCACAAGUACGAUUUAAUUACUUCGAAAUCAAUACCAUUAUAACAAUUUUGAGAUAGAUAAAUUAUAGUACAUAACAUAACUCUUAAAUGACUAAUCGAACAAUGUCAUCGAACAGUACAAUUUUUAUUGUAUAAUUCAAAAUAUAUCUUCCAUUUAUUUGUUAUAAUCAUGUAUUUGUCAUAUUGUAUCAUAGUUUGGAGACCUAUCUGUUGAAAAUGUGUCAGGGUUAAAUCGUAUACAUAUACAUGCACAGUGCGUUAACUGGAGUGCGGGUAUUAGUUACCCGCACUCCAGAGCUAGCCCAUUGAUUGGCUCAUUUUUGCUGGGGUUUACAUACUGUGACGGCAGAGAAAGGGAAAGCGACAGAAAUGUCAUAUUCAGAUGUUCGUUCAUUAGUUCAUUUUUGCCGGGGUUUCAUAUUGUGACAACAGGGAACGUGCUUUUAUGUUUGACUAUGAUACAAAAGAGAAAGAACACCAAAACACUCGGCAAUCUGAUUAAUACUCGGGGGCUACGCCCCCUCGUACUAAUCAGAUAACCUCGUGUUUCGGUGCUCUUUCUAUAACUUGUUUUAUGACACUACCCACUUAUUUUUAGAGUUAACGAGUACAGUUAUGGUAGAAAACAUUAUAAUAAGUUUAAGUGGGCCGAUGUGGUAAAGGGCUCAUUUGAUUGGGAUUGAAAUGUCUUGGUGCCGAAAUGACUAGAAAUCGGAUAUUUUAGUGGUGCCAUACCUUUGCAUGGAUCCCGUCGCACCGAUUGCAAAAAGGAAAUCUGAAAAAAUGGCAGAGACUGAAGACUUUUUGGACAUUUUUGUCACACAAUUAUUCAUGGACGGUCUGACAAAUUCGGAAAUUCAGACACUUCUGAAACUUACUAAGAGGAUACAUGUUAGUUUGAAAUACAAGGAAGUGGUCAGCGACUUGGAUGUAAAAUAAUGCGUAUAAGAAUUCAACAGAAUAAACAGAAUUCUUCGUUUGAUACAUGAAGUGGACCCUGAUGUUAACAUGAGGAGAAGAAAUUCCCGUACCAUAAUCUGGGACCAAAUUUUAUGAUACAUGUUGAUGGUUAUGAUAAAAAAGAUAUAGACUCGCCAUUCAUGAAGCAAUUUUUGGGUACUAGAGAUGAUAAAUUUUCUUCAUUCGGAAAACAUGGAAGCUACAACUUCUAACUUCCCAAUCUAUGAAUAGAAUGCUGAACAGUUCAAACAGAUACUGGCAAACAAUGGCAAAGAAAUGACAUCUACAUGUACUGAAGCAUUAAGUUUAUACUAGUGGCUGAAACUUCGUGUUUAAAGGACAUAUAUAAUUGCAUUAUCACAAACCGUGUAGGCCAUUAAUGUAUAAUUAUAUAUCACCAUUUACAUGCUGAGGACUUUGAUU